GGAAGCUAUAAGAAAAACAUCAAUCUCGGUGGAAGCUUAAAGUUUGGCCAGGCACGGUGGCUCUCAUCUGUAAUCCGAGAACUUUGGGAGGCCGAGGUGGGUGGAUCACUUGAGGUCAGGAGUUGGAGACCAGACUGGCCAACAGGGUGAAACCCCAUCUCUGCUAAAAAUACAAAAAUUAGCCAGGCAUGGUGUUACAUGCCUGUAAUCCCAGCUACUAGGGAGGGUGAGGCGGGAGAAUUGCUUGAACUCAGGAGGCGGAGGUUGUAGCGAGCCAAGAUCGCACCACUGCACUCUAGCCUAAGCGAAGAAGCGAGACUCCAUCUCAAAAAAAAGAAAAAAAAAGAAAAAGAAAAACAUCAAAGACGUGCUUCCUUUACUUUAACAUUUUCAAUUUCAGAGCUGCCUUCAUCCUCUGCAAGCUCCAUCUUGUCACUUACUCUUCUUGGUCAUACAUGAAGGGGGAGAUGGAGAACGCCUUUUGAGACCCUUGGAAAACAGCCUCACGCUUAUGGAAUUUUGGAGUUUGAAUGGUUGUCUGAACUCUAAAAUGGUCAAAACUGGUGUUUGGUGGUUUUUAAUUUUGUCUGUUUGUUUAGUUUAUGGCUUAUUUGUAGACAAAAAUUCCUCAAAAACUUAAUAGGCUUCUGAUCAACUUACUUCCAGGUAGUCGUGUGUGCCAGAAACCACAUUCAUAGAUCUUUCCUAGACAUAAUUCUCAAAUAUGUUUUAUCUCUCUGCUUCCUUGCCAUCAUACUAGUUAAUCUCAUUCAACUUAAUACCAGGUACCUUGAGGCUAUAACUUCUGAAUGGGAAUACCUUAUCUUGAAACUGAUCUUUUUUUUGUGAAUCAGUUUAUUCACCUGAAAAUAUUUACUAAGCUGUUAGUGGCUAAAGUUUUUUUUUCUUUCUUUUUCUUCCCUUUGUGUAGUUUCAUUUCUCACUGUUUGCAUUCUAGAAACAGCUGACUUUUUCAAUAUUGCAAAACCUGAAUUUCCAAACUCUCUCUAUUUCCUCCCAUUUAUGCUUGCAAACUAGCCAAUUCCUUCCCAAGCUUUUUCUUGGCCAAACACAGCCAAUAAAAACCAUACACCAUUAAAAUUAUGCUUCUCAUUUCUUUUCCUAGAGUUCAGUUUAAAUAGGCACAUAUUCUACCUUCCAAGUGUUCACAGAAAAUAAGUUUUACCAAAUGUUUUGCCACUGCUUAAGAUCACGAUUUUUCAAGCAGUCAGUUUCAGUCUCCUAUUGACCGCC
rnacentral:lncRNA from 1 species